CCCAGCUGGUGAUGGGGCAGCUCCUGGGUGACACUGAGUGCUGGCCAUGGGUGACAAGCACGCCUUUUGUUACAGACCUUUCCCUGGCACCAAGAAGUAGGAGGGCCGUGCCAGUCUCUCUGAUAAGCAAAUUUAUAGCUCCAAGUGGGUGCAGAGUCAAGAGUCAGCAGUGGCUUAGGAAAAAACUGUGCCUGGCCCCUCUCUUCCUAUGGAAGUGGAGCAAACCAGGAGUUAAGAUUGCGUGAUGCUUGCGAAACAGCGCAGAGACAACUCUGGUUUGGGAGGGUGCUGGGGAAAUUCUUGCUGAAAUCAACCCACAGCUGGCUGCUUCCCUCCUGUGCUGGCUUGUGCCGAGUGAUUGCUUCCCAUUUUCCUCAGAUCCAGAUUUGCAGAUGGGCAUGGACACCUCCCCACAGCCCGAGACGAAGCGAUGCAAGGAGACCAUUGUGUCUGAGACUGCACACAUCCCAUCUCACACAAACAGUAAUGGGCUUUGUGAUUACUCCUGCUGCUGCCACAGCACCAUCCUGCUCGCCAUGUCAGUCAGCACCUUCCCCAGGGAACAUUCCAGUUUCCCAGGAGGUUGUGGAGCUUUGAUCGCAUGCCACGGCAGUGGGAUGGAGCACACAACCAUCCCUAAGCCCUUCCUACGCUGACACUGAGCAAGGUGACCCUGAAACUGGCUGGCAAGGGACAGGCAGGGUGCCCUGCAUGGUGCCUCACAUGCCUGAAAGGAGAGGGGAGAGGUUUUCCCUGUCCUUGGAGCAAGUGGGGUCGGUAGCAACAUCCUUCCUUUGGAGCCAUGAUGGAAGAGGGAGUUAAUUCACCCCUUACACCAAGUGCUAAAGUGUUUGUUCUGGCAGCCAGUGCCAGGCAGCAGGAAUACACUUUUGACAGAGAGAUAUUAGGUAAAAUUCAGUGGUGACCCAAGGAGGUGUAAUUAGCUCUGCUGUCACAGAGGAAAGGACAUGUUUGUACAGAUUAUUUCCAAUUUCUAGCAACACCUGCUCACUUGCUUUAACCAGGUUUCUCAAAAUCAGGACUAAUUAGCACUUCCUUGGAAGCCCAGCUCUCUCCAGGCAAUGGCUUUACCUUUCAAUUGGUACUCCUUCUGCAGGAAGGCACAUUACUGUAUCAGGAAAAGCUAAUGGCAGCAGGAAACCAUUUUCAUGGCUAAAGCUAAUUCAAGGAGAAGGCAGAGCUCACCAGAUCUGGACUUUCUUGCUGAUGCCAGGCAUGAGGGCUGUGCAGUGAGUUUCCUUCUCUGCAUCCUUGAAAGAGAACAGGAGCAGGUAGAGCAGGAAAAGGACUGGCAGCCUGAGCCAGUGGGGCAGCUCCUGCAUAUCUGUGCUUGUUGUCAUGUCCCUUGGAGACAGAUGUGUGACCUUCCAGACAACAGAAAUCCCUAUUCCCCAGCCAACCUAGCUGAGCUUCACACAUAAUUUAACAUGUCUUAUAAUAUUUUAUAGACUCCACUCUGUAACUCCACAUUGAGCUAUUAUUUAAUGAAAUUAUCCCCAGUAGGGACCUUAGGAGAACUAAUUGUACAUAAAAGCUUUGGUGGUAGAGUAGUGGGAAACAUCCACAAAUGCUUUAAAUACCAAAUUUUUCAUCUCUUAAUAUUUAUUAAUUUAUAGCCUCUAUUCUGGUUGCAGUUCUGCAGAUACACUUCAGCAUGGUGUUGAUUAAAUCUGGUGCCUGUGCAAGCCAGUAUCAGACUCAGGCCCAGAGAAGUAGUAUUUUAACUGUUCUAGGACCAUUUAUCAGUGCAUCCAAGAAUUUGGAUACUCUUCCAGGCAGUUUUGCUUGGGGUUUCCAUAUGGAUCUCAGUCCACAUCCACAGCAGCAGGAGCUUGAACAAUGGGUUGGGCAGCACUGAGAGGAACCCCUUUAGGAGAAAAGAACAUCUAUUUAUUGUUUUUUCCUGUUUAUUCUUCUCAACACUGAAUUUGCAAAAUAAAUACGAUCCAUGGGGUUUUGAUCCCCACUUGAAUGCUUUGCAAAAACAUGACGCCUUAUUUUAUUAUUAUGUUAUUUUUUAUAUUCUUUAUUGGUUUGUUAUAUCCAAUAUCUCACCAGACCUGUCAGCUUACAGCAGACUCCUGGGAACUCUGGUGUGUUGAAACAACUUCCAAAGGAUGACACAGAGUCGCCCAUGGUGACUUGCAGUGGGGAUGGGGGAAUGAGAUGGAGCAAGUCUCACCCUCAGGGGCCUGGAGAACAAAGGAACUUGAGAGGCACCUGAGUGCUGUUGGUGGUAUGAAGUGCAAGAGGACAUAAGAGCUCUGGUUCUUGUGCCCCAAAGGUCUUUUUAGCAUGCCAAUUGCCAUGAAUGAGGACAGCUUCUGGUACAGGCUGAUGAGUAACAUUUUUCCUACUGCUGCUGAAGCCACUGGAAAAAUCUGGUUGAUCCAGGAUGUCACGUCAGAACCUAAUUCCCAUUCCUGCAAACACCCAUACACUCAUGUUCAGUGCUUAAUAAAAGGUAAGCUCCAGUCAAUGGGAAAAUGUGCUUAAGAGCUUUACUCCGUUUCUUAAGCACUCUGCUGGGUCUGGCCUCAUGCAAUGUGUCAAGCACUCAUUACCCUUAUCUUUUAUUAUUUUAGUACAAAUAGUUGUGUGGGAAUAACCUCUCAUCACAAAGGUGGGAUUUUUAGGAGGGGAGGCCACCCUGUGCGUGUGCAUGCGACGUGUUUGGGUGAUGUUCUGGCUUUGUGCUCCGAGGAAAUAAAGGGGAGGAAACAUGAUUGUCUUGGAGCAGGUACACAGCUUUGAGAUGCCCGGCUUGGAAGAAAUUGCAGAAAGUGUUUCCCUUUGUAUUGCAGGGCCUGGCAGCCUGGUGAGAUAAUAGGAGAUAAAGCAAAUUGUACGACAAUGGAAAAUGCUGAGCUCCCUGAGUAAUUAAAGGUUGUGUAAGACGGUCGCAUGGCUUGAAAGGAUUAUUAAUGCAGUCACGUUUGCAUUAUAUAAAGGGUAAUUAAAAUGCAGCCUGCUUACCAUUGAUUACACCCUUUGCCUGGCACGGGUAGCAGUGGCUGCACAACCAGGCAGCAAAGGUGGCUUGGGAAGCAGUGGCUGCCAGCAAAAGGAGAGGCUGUGGGGUGCAGGAUGCCCAAAACUUUGGGACCACUGCUGUGCCAUAGCUUUGGACAAAUCUCCAGCAGAUUGUGUCCUCUGCCUUCACACAGGCAGGAGGGUCCCUUCUCAUCCCACCAUGCCACAGUCACUUAAGCUUCCCUAGAAGAGCUCACAUGGGCAGCAGUGGGUAACCUGGGUAUCUCAAUAGAUAUCUAGGCUAGUCAUGGAUUAUAGAUUGGUGCACCUGAAGAAAUUUUGCCAGGGUAGCCUGAGGAA